UACGAAGGGGGCUAGCGUUGCUCGGAAUCACUGGGCGUAAAGCGCACGUAGGCGGAUUGCUAAGUCAGGGUGAAAUCCUGGAGCUCAACUCCAGAACUGCCCUUGAUACUGGUCGGUCUCGAGUCCGGGAGAGGUGAGUGGAACUGCGAGUGUAGAGGUGAAAUUCGUAGAUAUUCGCAAGAACACCAGUGGCGAAGGCGGCUCACUGGUCCGGUACUGACGCUGAGGUGGCGAAAGCGUGGGGAGCAAACAGG
rnacentral:rRNA from 1 species